rnacentral:rRNA from 1 species
GACAGCAGCAGCCACGGUAAUACGUAGGUGGCAAGCGUUGUCCGGAAUUAUUGGGCGUAAAGCGCGCGCAGGCGGAUCAGUUAGUCUGUCUUAAAAGUUCGGGGCUUAACCCCGUGAUGGGAUGGAAACUGCUGAUCUAGAGUAUCGGAGAGGAAAGUGGAAUUCCUAGUGUAGCGGUGAAAUGCGUAGAUAUUAGGAAGAACACCAGUGGCGAAGGCGACUUUCUGGACGAAAACUGACGCUGAGGCGCGAAAGCCAGGGGAGCGAACGGGAUUAGAUACCCCCGUAGUCCCUGUCUCUUAUACA